rnacentral:lncRNA from 1 species
UUUUGGACAAUAUUGAUGACGCUAAUGAGUGGCUAACUGGAGUCCCCGAAAAUUGUGAAGAUGAAGAAGUAUUUGAAGGCGACCCCGAUUUAACUUAGGGUGAUGUUGCGGUUGCUAGUGGAGUUGGGGAGGAUCCUUAUAGUUUAAGGAGUUGUACUCCAAGUUCAAGUUCAAUUUGGAAGGGAAAAAGUGUGGUUACUACAAGUCGAUCCAUUGAUGAAGAUGAGAAUUAUUAUGAAGAGGAGGGGGAAGAAGAAGAUGACGAGCAAUAUGAAGAUAACCGAGGAAUUCAAGAUUUUGACUAUCUUGAAGGAGAAGAAGACAUANNNNNNNNNNNNNAGAAGAAGAUGACGAGCAAUAUGAAGAUAACCGAGGAAUUCAAGAUUUUGAAAAUCUUGAAGGAGAAGAAGACAUAUAGUAGCUUUGAUUUUGCUUGUUUAUAGUUUAUGGAUGAUUGUGGAUGAUUUGGUGGUACCUAGUACCUAAUUUAAAGUAUUUAAAUUGAUGUUUAUGAUUAUUCAUAAUUUUACAUUAUGUUUUUUAAAAAUUGCGCUUCACUUCAAAAAAGCGUGCGCUUCUUUGCGCUUUGC